UACGUAGGUGGCAAGCGUUGUCCGGAUUUACUGGGCGUAAAGGGCGUGCAGGCGGUCUGUUAAGUGCAGGGUGAAAGCUCCCGGCUCAACUGGGAGAGGUCCUUGCAUACUGGCGGACUUGAGGGGGGUAGAGGAAAGUGGAAUUCCCGGUGUAGUGGUGAUAUGCGUAGAUAUCGGGAGGAACACCGGUGGCGAAGGCGGCUUUCUGGGCCGUACCUGACGCUGAGGCGCGAAAGCGUGGGGAGCGAACCGG
rnacentral:rRNA from 1 species